rnacentral:lncRNA from 1 species
AGAAAGUGAGGGUACUACUACAUGAGCUGUCUGAAAACAGCCAGGUCGGGGUUCCAAGAAGACACCAGUGGCACAGGAGUAACUGAGGAGCAUCUGGAGGUCAGCUCAUCUAUUAACUCAAAUCAAAGAAAUGGCAGGCACCAAAAUGACCCCUCAAGCAAUAACCACUUCCAGAUGCCAGCAAGACCCCGUGAGAUGGACCCCAAGAAAAUGAUUGACCGGGAGUUUACUGACGCCCUGCAUGACCCACUGACCUUUGUAAUAUACAGGACAACAUUCUAAUUCUACAACAUUACAGGACAAAAUAUCAAUACACAAAAAAUCUCUGUU